rnacentral:tRNA from 1 species
GGGCGAGUGAUGAAACGGCAGACAUUCGAGAUUUAGGGUCUCGUGCUCGCAAGAGCGUGAGGGUUCGAAUCCCUCCUCGCCCA